CAACAAAGGAAGCAUCCUUCAACAAAGCCAGCGGGCUCUCAAUCUCCUCCCCAUUCUCGCCAACAGCAUCAAGAUCCCGCGCCCAAUCUGGCUUCCCCUCAGCCUCCUUCCACAACAUUCUCGAAUUCAACACAAACCCUGACCACUCCAUCUUAGUCGGUAACACAGUACCAGCCUCACCAACAUACGUCGCAGUUUUGUUCAUAUAUGGCAGCGAGUUAAAGGUAUGCCACCCAACCAGCUGAUUAGAGGAG
rnacentral:misc_RNA from 1 species